rnacentral:lncRNA from 1 species
CCGUUUUCACUCAUUUUCGCUCGUUCGACCUCCGAUUCCUUUCAAAUCGAACCAAGACUCUCCAAACAUGUUUUCGAACAUGUUUUCAUCAUCUUUUCAUCCACGCUAAUGCCGGAUUUAGUUCACGGCCCAUCAUAGCCUUUCGGGUUUCGUUUUCUACGUGUAUUGAAGCACCCGAAUGCUUCCGAACUUCACCGUAACCAUUCUAACAGCUUUCCAAGCUAACAUGCACCACAACUUCAUAAUUAUAGAAGUU